AUGGCCAUAUCAUGUUGAAAUACCAGUUCUCAUCUGAUCACUAAAUUUAAGCAAUGUUGUGCAUGGUCAGUACCUAGAUGAGUGACCACUUAGGAUUACCAGGUGCUGUAAG